GAUGAACGCUAGCGGCAGGCUUAACACAUGCAAGUCGAGGGGCAGCAUAAAUAGUAGCAAUACUAUUGGUGGCGACCGGCGGACGGGUGCGUAACGCGUAUACAACCUUCCCUAAACAGGGGGAUAAUCUGGAGAGAUUCGGUCUAAUACCCCAUAACAUCAGAGCAGGCAUCUGUUUUGGUUAAAAUUUCCGGAGGUUUAGGAUGGGUAUGCGUAGCAUUAGCUAGUUGGUGAGGUAACGGCUCACCAAGGCGACGAUGCUUAGGGGGACUGAGAGGUUAACCCCCCACACUGGUACUGAGACACGGACCAGACUCCUACGGGAGGCAGCAGUGAGGAAUAUUGGUCAAUGGGCGGAAGCCUGAACCAGUCAUGCCGCGUGCAGGAUGACGGCUCUAUGAGUUGUAAACUGCUUUUGUACGAGGGUAAAGUGGGCUACGUGUAGCCUUUUGAAAGUAUCGUACGAAUAAGGAUCGGCUAACUCCGUGCCAGCAGCAGCCGCCG
rnacentral:rRNA from 1 species